AAAAAAAGUCACUUUCUGAUGGACCCAAAAACAUCAAGAUGUUUUGGAGACCCUGAGAAGAGAGGAACUCACCCAUUUUGCACAGGUCGUUCCAUCCUCAUGGCACCAAGAGGCACCUCCUCAGCAGCCCAGCACCCAGGCUCCUUCAUGCAAAGAUGCCCUUCUAUGAUUGUCUCUGUGCAGCUCCUGCCAGGCCUGUGCAUCUGCAGAUGCUCUCAGGCCACCCAGGGCCCCAGCAAAGGUUUGGGCAGCCGCAGACAGAUCCUCAGGCCUGGCCUAGAGAUGUGAAUUUUCAGACACCUGUCGCCAUCCACAGCUGCUCAGGCUAGUCCCAGAGGACCCCGGGUCUGGGCUUGCAGGUAAAAUACAGGAUGCCCUGCUGAAGUUCAGUGUCAGAUAAGCAAGAAAUAAUGUUCUAAUGUAAGUAAGCCCUAAAUGAUGUUGCAUA
rnacentral:lncRNA from 1 species